rnacentral:lncRNA from 1 species
UAGCCUCUUCCUUUAUCCGUAGAGCUUCAGAAGAAGAAGAUGGGUUUCAAGAAUGCGAUAAAGAAUAGAAAUGGCUUCAGAUGGCCUCUAAAGCAUGAGCAAUCGAAUCAGUAGUUGCUAGGAGAUAUGAUGAAGACAUUGUCAAUGCUUUGAGCUAUACAAGUCCUGCAGAAAGAUAAAGGACCAAACUGUUAAAGAAACUGAAA